AGGGAGUGAGAGGUACCAUAACAAUUCCUGCAUGAAAUCUAUAUAUAAGCCUUACUCAUGAAGUAUAAAGCAUGUCGUGAAUCCUCCCGAAAGAGAGGAGUGCCUUCAGGAAAGCGGACACAGGUGGUGCAUGGUUGUCGUCAGCUCGUGCUAUAAGGUGUUGGGUUAAGUCCUGCAACGAGCGCAACGCUCAUGUUUAGUUGCCAGCAUUGAGUUUGGAACCAUGACCAGACUGUCGGUGAUACGCCGGAGGAAGGUGAGGAUGACGUCAAGUCAUCAUGCCCCUUACGCCCUUGGCGACACACGUGCUACAAUGACCGGGAUAAAGGGUCGUGACCCUAUGAGAGCAAGCUAACCUCAAAAACCCAGCCUCAGUUCUGAUUGCAGGUUGCAACUCACCUGCAUGAAGCUGGAAUCACUAGUAAUCGUCGGUCAGCCAUACGAUGGUGAAUAUGUUCCUGGGCCUUGUACA
rfam:Picea glauca, whole genome shotgun sequence.